AACGAACGCUGGCGGCAGGCUUAACACAUGCAAGUCGAGCGCCCCGCAAGGGGAGCGGCAGACGGGUGAGUAACGCGUGGGAAUCUACCCAUCUCUACGGAAUAACGCAUGGAAACGUGUGCUAAUACCGUAUACGUCCUUCGGGAGAAAGAUUUAUCGGAGAUGGAUGAGCCCGCGUCGGAUUAGCUAGUUGGUGGGGUAAAGGCCUACCAAGGCGACGAUCCAUAGCUGGGCUGAGAGGAUGAUCAGCCACACUGGGACUGAGACACGGCCCAGACUCCUACGGGAGGCAGCAGUGGGGAAUAUUGGACAAUGGGGGCAAGCCUGAUCCAGCCAUGCCGCGUGAGUGAUGAAGGGCCUAGGGUUGUAAAGCUCUUUCACCGGUGAAGAUAAUGACGGUAACCGGAGAAGAAGCCCCGGCUAACUUCGUGCCAGCCGCCGCCGUAACAC
rnacentral:rRNA from 1 species